UACGUAGGGUGCUAGCGUUGUUCGGAAUCAUUGGGCGUAAAGCGCGUGUAGGCGGUUAGGAAAGUCUCGUGUGAAAUCCCUGGGCUCAACCGAGGAAGUGCAUGGGAAACUACCUAGCUGGAAGACGGUAGAGGAAGGUGGAAUUCCAAGUGUAGAGGUGAAAUUCGUAGAUAUUUGGAGGAAUACCGGUGGCGAAGGCGGCCUUCUGGACCGUUCUUGACGCUGAGACGCGAAAGCGUGGGGAGCAAGCAGG
rnacentral:rRNA from 1 species